rnacentral:rRNA from 1 species
UACGUAUGGAGCAAGCGUUAUCCGGAUUUACUGGGUGUAAAGGGAGUGUAGGUGGCCAGGCAAGUCAGAAGUGAAAGCCCGGGGCUCAACCCCGGGACUGCUUUUGAAACUGCAGGGCUAGAGUGCAGGAGGGGCAAGUGGAAUUCCUAGUGUAGCGGUGAAAUGCGUAGAUAUUAGGAGGAACACCAGCGGCGAAGGCGGCUUGCUGGACUGUAACUGACACUGAGGCUCGAAAGCGUGGGGAGCAAACAGG